CCACCGCUCGCCUUCUUCCCGGGAGCUAAAUUGUAUCGCGAGAUUUCUGCCUCACUAUUACUUGGGCCGCGGAGAUAUCCCACCCUUUUCUUCCGCGCGGUUGGAGGACAUCGGCUAGUUUUCUGGAGUUGGAGGACUGAAGUCGGGACGUUAGUGUGUGCAAAUCUCCAGGACUCACGCACCAGGCCAGUCGCAGGUUUUGGCCCGAGGCCUGUGUUACGGGCAGCAAGUGCGCGGUUGGGGCCGGUGUGAGGCGGUUUUAGAAAACUGUUAAAAAACAAAGCAAUUGAUGGAUAAAUCAGGAAUAGAUUCUCCUGACCAUGUGACAUCUGCUGCUAUGGAACUUGCAAAUCAAAGUGAUAACUCUUCUGAUAGCAGCUUAUUUAAAACUCAGUGUAUCACUUACUCACCUAAAGGGGGGAAAAGAAACCCCAUUGGAAAAUUUGUUCGUACACCUGAAAGUGCUCACACAAGUGAUUCAUCAAGUGACUCAUCUUUUGAACCAAUACCAUUGACUAUAAAAGCUAUUUUUGAAAGAUUCAAGAACAGGAAAAAGAGAUACAAAAAAAAGAAAAAGAAGAAGUACCAGCCAACAGGAAGACCAAGGGGAAGACCAGAAGGAAGGAGAAAUCCUAUAUCCUCACUAAUAGAUAAGAAAAAACAAUUUAGAAGCAAAGGAUCUGGCUUCCCAUUUUUAGAAUCAGAGAAUGAAAAAAACCCGCCUUGGAGAAAAAUUUUAACGUUUGAGCAAGCUGUUGCAAGAGGAUUUUUUAACUACAUUGAAAAACUGAAGUAUGAACACCACCUGAAAGAAUCAUUGAAACAAAUGGAUGUUGGUGAAGAUUUAGAAAAUGAAGAUUUUGAUAGUCGUAGAUACAAAUUUUUGGAUGAUGAUGGAUCCAUUUCUCCUAUUGAGGAGUCAACAGCAGAGGAUGAGGAUGCAACACAUCUUGAAGAUAAUGAAUGUGAUAUCAAAUUGGCAGGCGAUAGUUUCAUAGUAAGUUCUGAAUUCCCUGUAAGACUGAGUGUAUACUUAGAAGAAGAGGAUAGUACUGAAGAAGCUGCUUUGUCUAAAAAGAGAGCUACAAAAGCCAAAAAUACUGGACAGAGAGCCCUGAAAAUGUGACAGGAUCAUGAAUGUCAAAGGCUUUUAUCUUGAGAACAUGAUGUCUGGAGUUAAAGGACUAUUGUUAGAUCUGUGGGAAGGAACUACAAGACAGUUGCUAAAAGUUUGAAAAAGACAGUUACUAAACGUUAUGAAAAACCAGAUAAUCUACUUUUUUACCUUAGGUAUUGGCAUAUACCACACAUCUACCAUUCUUGAGUGAUAGCUUAGGUAAGUUUUAAUUGGUGACAGUAUAAUCUUUUGGGAAAUAUGAUUACAGUUCAGAUGAUGAAUUUAACUGUUCAACUGCUGAAUGAUAAGGGCAUGAACUAAAACUUAAUUCUGACAGAGCUGGAUGUGGCUAUAUAAAACUGGAUCUUAAAUUUAUACUUGGGUAUUAGUUUUAAUAGCUGGAAAUAUAUCCUUUCUAAAUCUUUAAUUGGUACUUUCUAUAGGAAUGAAUGUGAUUUGAACUCAUUCAUGUUGAGAGGUAAGUAAAAUAUUUAACCUUUAAUAAUCAAGGACUCAAAAGAUGAAAAACAGAAAUUAAGUACACCAUCCCAGUAUUUCAGGUAUAACACAGAAUUAGGUAAGAUACUGGCAAAAAUGUUACUAUAUACUUGUAUAGAGAAGGAAAAUGAAGAGACUGCAUGUCUAGACCUACCAAAUGAAAUUACCUGUGUUCUUUGCAUCGUUAUUGAACUGGCAGUUACACAUACUUCAUCCUAAAGUCAUGUAAACCUGUGUGGAUAUGUUGAAUCAAUAGGGAUAUGAAUUACAUUAAAAAGAGGUUUGCGUAACUGGCAGUUUGAGCAACAGUGAGCUUGACAUUUGUAGUCUGCUUGAUCUGUUAAGUUACAUGUAUAUAUUCCAUCUGUAAGUUAUAUAGAGACUAGGCAAAGAUUAGGAAAAGACUAGAGUUGUAGCUUAAAAUACAGUUAAUGUAGCUUAUUACAGUGACAGGAAAAAAGGUCAAAUUAUUGUACUUGUUAAAGGAACUUGAAUUUGAGAGGUUUGUGAAAGCAUUUCUCAGUAGCAACGUUGCGCAUUUGGGAAUACGAAUAUGAAUAUGACAGUUCAGUCAUAAUUGCACUGCAUGGUAUCUGCAUUCAGCAGUUUACUCCUGCUAGGGUGUUCAAAGGUCAGUGCUAUAGAAAUUCAGUAUCUGGCAUCGUUGGUUUUCUUGGCUUUGUGCUUGUUAAACCUGGUAUUUCUAUUGAUACAGUAUUUAUAUAGGUUUCUCAGUGUUCAGUUUGAUAUACUCUAAAAUAGUAAGCAAUGCUUUUCUUUUUCCAGGGUGUCAAAUUGAGAACCAGGCAGAUCCCCACCACCUACAAUCAAAAGGACCCUAAAGGAAAUUGGUUGAAGAAAUUAGAUCCCAAAGAUUCUUGGUGAAUUUUGAAGUCUUCAUCAGUUUACCUAUAUUAAAAGGAGAUGACAGAAGCUAAAGUAAUUAUGGC